CCUACGGGUGGCAGCAGUAGGGAAUAUUGCUCAAUGGGGGAAACCCUGAAGCAGCAACGCCGCGUGGAGGAUGAAGGUUUUCGGAUUGUAAACUCCUUUUGUUAGAGAAGAUAAUGACGGUAUCUAACGAAUAAGCACCGGCUAACUCCGGGCCAGCAGCCGCGGUAAUACGGAGGGUGCAAGCGUUACUCGGAAUCACUGGGCGUAAAGAGCGCGGAGGCGGGAUAGCAAGUCAGAUGUGAAAUCCUAUGGCUUAACCAUAGAACUGCAUUUGAAACUGUUAUUCUAGAGUAUGGGAGAGGUAGGUGGAAUUCUUGGUGUAGGGGUAAAAUGCGUAGAGAUCAAGAGGAAUACUGAUGGCGAAGGCGACCUGCUAGAACAUAACUGACGCUGAUGCGCGAAAGCGUGGGGAGCAAACAGGAUUAGAUACCCGGGUAGUC
rnacentral:rRNA from 1 species